rnacentral:rRNA from 1 species
GACGAACGCUGGCGGCGUGCUUAACACAUGCAAGUCGAACGGAAAGGCCCUGCUUUUGUGGGGUGCUCGAGUGGCGAACGGGUGAGUAACACGUGAGUAACCUGCCCUUGACUUUGGGAUAACUUCAGGAAACUGGGGCUAAUACCGGAUAGGAGCUCCUGCUGCAUGGUGGGGGUUGGAAAGUUUCGGCGGUUGGGGAUGGACUCGCGGCUUAUCAGCUUGUUGGUGGGGUAGUGGCUUACCAAGGCUUUGACGGGUAGCCGGCCUGAGAGGGUGACCGGCCACAUGGGGACUGAGAUACGGCCCAGACGCCUACGGGAGGCAGCAGUGGGGAAUAUUGCACAAUGGGCGGAAGCCUGAUGCAGCAACGCCGAGUGCGGGAAGACGGCCUUCGGGUUGUAAACCGCUUUCGCCUGUGACGAAGCGUGAGUGACGGUAAUGGGAAAAGAAGCACCGGCUAACUACGU